rnacentral:sRNA from 1 species
UUAACUUUAUUUGUCUUUGCCCAUCAAUAAUUCAAAGAUUAUUAUUCUAU